AUGAACGCUGGCGGCGUGCCUAAUACAUGCAAGUCGAGCGAACAGACGAGGAGCUUGCUCCUCUGACGUUAGCGGCGGACGGGUGAGUAACACGUGGAUAACCUACCUAUAAGACUGGGAUAACUUCGGGAAACCGGAGCUAAUACCGGAUAAUAUAUUGAACCGCAUGGUUCAAUAGUGAAAGACGGUUUUGCUGUCACUUAUAGAUGGAUCCGCGCCGCAUUAGCUAGUUGGUAAGGUAACGGCUUACCAAGGCAACGAUGCGUAGCCGUCCUGAGAGGGUGAUCGGCCACACUGGAACUGAGACACGGUCCAGACUCCUACGGGAGGCAGCAGUAGGGAAUCUUCCGCAAUGGGCGAAAGCCUGACGGAGCAACGCCGCGUGAGUGAUGAAGGUCUUCGGAUCGUAAAACUCUGUUAUUAGGGAAGAACAAAUGUGUAAGUAACUAUGCACGUCUUGACGGUACCUAAUCAGAAAGCCACGGCUAACUACGUG
rnacentral:rRNA from 1 species